rnacentral:rRNA from 1 species
UACGUAGGUGGCAAGCGUUGUCCGGAGUUAUUGGGCGUAAAGCGCGCGCAGGCGGUUGGAUAAGUCCCUGGUGAAAGCGCCUGGCUCAACUAGGCGAGUGCCGUGGGGACUGUUCAGCUGGAGUGGAGCAGAGGCGAGUGGAAUUCCGGGUGUAGUGGUGAAAUGCGUAGAGAUCCGGAGGAACACCAGAGGCGAAGGCGGCUCGCUGGGCUUUGACUGACGCUGAGGCGCGAAAGCGUGGGGAGCGAACCGG